CUACGGAGGGUGCAAGCGUUAAUCGGAAUUACUGGGCGUAAAGCGUACGUAGGCGGUCCGUUAAGUUAGAUGUGAAAGCCCCGGGCUUAACCUGGGAACUGCAUUUAAAACUGGCGGACUAGAGUUGAGUAGAGGGGAGUGGAAUUUCAGGUGUAGCGGUGAAAUGCGUAGAGAUCUGAAGGAACACCAGUGGCGAAGGCGACUCCCUGGACUCGAACUGACGCUGAGGUACGAAAGCGUGGGUAGCAAACGGGAUUAGAUACCCUAGUAGUCC
rnacentral:rRNA from 1 species